GACGAACGCUGGCGGCGUGCCUAAUACAUGCAAGUUGAGCGCUGAAGGCUGGUCCUUUUACCAACUGGUUGAGCAGCGAACGGGUGAGUAACGUGUGGGCAAUCUGCCUUUCAGCAGGGGACAACAUUUGGAAACGAAUUCUUAUACCGCAUAAAAACUUUAAACACAAGUUUUACGUUUGAAAUAUGCUAUUGCAUCACUCAAAGAUGAUCCCGCGUUGUAUUCGCUAGUUGGUGUGGUAAAGGCUCCCCAAGGCGAGGAUACAUAACCGACCUCAGAGGGGAAGAGGCCACACUGGGACUGGAGCACGGCCCAAACUCCUACGGGAGGCAGCAGGAGGGAAUCUUUGGGAAAGGAAGAAAGGCUGACCGAGCAACGCCGGGUGAGUGAAGAAGGGAGUAGGAUCGUAAGACUCUGGUGGGAGAGAGGAUUGUUGGGGAGUGUGAAAAGCGAACAAAGUGACGGUACCUACCCAGAAAGGGACGGCUAACUACGUG
rnacentral:rRNA from 1 species